CGGUUGGCGAUGGAUUACUUAACAUGCGAACCAGAGAGCUUCUCAUUCCAUUUCUCUCGUCUCUCUCCUCUCUCUUCUAUCUCUCGGAGCCAAGAAAAAGAAAAAAAUAGCCGUUGGUGAUCAGUUGUUUUCUUAACACGCGAACCCGGGAGCGUCUCUUUCUAUUGCUGUUCUCUCUCUCUAGGAUCCAAGAAAAAGAAAGUCAGAGCCGUUGGCGAUCGAUUACUUAACACACGAACCAGGGAGCUUCUCUUUCUAUUGUUCUUCUCUCUCUCCAAUCCAAGAAGAAGAAAUAAAGAAAUCACCGUUGGCGGUCCAUUACUUACUUAACAAGCGAACCAGGCAGCUUCUCUUUCUGUUGCUCUUCUCUCUGUCUAGGAUCCUAGAAAAAGAAAGAAAGAGCCGUUGGCGAUCGAUUACUUACUUAACACACGAACCAGGGAGCUUCUCUUUCCAUUGCUCUUCUCUCUCUCUGAUCCAAGAAGAAGAAAUAAAGAAAUCACCGUUGGCGAUCGAUUACUUACUUAACAAGCGAACUAGGGAGCUUCUCUUUCUAUUGCUCUUCUCUCUCUCUAGGAUCCAAGAAAAAGAAAGAAACAGCCGUUGGCGAUCGAUUACUUAACACGCGAAACAGGGAGCUUCUCUUUCUAUUGCUCUUCUUUCUCUCUCUCCAGGAUCCAAGAAACAGAAAGAAAGAAAGAGCCGUUGGCGAUCGAUUACUUAACACACGAACCAGGGAGCUUCUCUUUCUAUUGCUCUUCUUUCUCUCUCUCUAGGAUCCAAGAAAAAGAAAGAAAGAGCCGUUGGCGAUCGAUUACUUACUUAAACAAACGAACCAGGGAGCUUCUCUUUCUUUUUCUCUUCUCUCUCUUUCUAUUUCUCCUCUCUAUAGCAGGCAGGCAAGGCAGCCAUGAGGUUCGGUUUUUCGGUCAGGAUGAAGAAUGACCCACGGAACAAGUUUCUAUCUGUGAGAAAACCCGGCACUACGAGAGGCAUCAGAAAAGUCCCUGCUGCUGCUGUACCUCAAGAUCUCCUUCUCCCUGACCCAAUUGUUAUCUCACACGGCCCAUAUGUUGUGCCACGUGAAGUAGUUCGGAUUCUGGGAAUAUUCUCGGAAAGUCCUAGAGAAAACCCUCUUCUCCCUCUAGAGAAAUUUUCAAAUCUCUCUCUAGAAAGAAAUCCACCUGCACCUUUAUCUCUGGAGAAAUUUUCUACUCUCUCUUUAGAAGGAAACCCUCUUCCACCGUUUCUCAGCUCUGUGGAUCAAGCUCUUCACUUUCUUUCUCUAGAGAAAACAACACCGGGAUCCCCACCAUUUCUCAGCUCAAUUCACUCUGUGGAUCAAGCUCUUCACUUUCUCUCUCUAGAGGAAACAACACCGCCAUCCCCACCAUUUCUCAGCUCAAUCCCCUCUGUGGAUCUAGCUCUUCACUUUCUCUCUCUAGAGGAAACAAACUCCCUCUGUGGAUCAAGCUCUUCACUUUCUCUCUCUAGAGGAAACAAAGCCUCCAUCCCGUUUUAACAGAUUUGUUGAUUGUUGAUUGCUUUAGUUCAAGUACCAAAUACAUUUUCAAAACUAAAUACCUGACAAGUGCUCAAUGAACUAGUUUUUGGUAAGCUUUUGAAUAAGAACACUGAAUAAUCUAUUUUGAUAAAAAUCAGAUUUUAUUGAUUUAUUACAUGUAUACUGAUUUUCACAUAUUUUAUUGACCACACAUAUUUUAAUCGAUUUUAGUUGGAUUAAGAUGUUUUUUUGAAAGAUCAUUUGAUUGGUUGGUUAUUAUCUUCUCAAAUUCAGUCAUAUCGUCAUAUGUUGCUGUGUUUCUACAAUUGCCAUAAUUCUUUACUCUGUUUUUAGGGCACAUCGAUCUUUUUUGAUGUGGUCAUGGAUCAUGAUGCGUACUGAUUUUUAUUUCUGUGAAUUUCCAUAUGCAAUGAGUAACUGGCUGCAAUCAAUCUUGGUGAUAUUGUACUGGUUUUUAUUAUGUGGUGGUUCUAGCUUAUCAAAGAGAUGCAUGGUAGUUUAUUCUCUUUUUUAAUGGUAAAGAAAUGCAUAUUGAUUUGUUUAUUUUAUUUUUGGUGGUGGUUAUACCCUCUUAAUAAAAUUGGUAAAGAGAUGCAUACUGAUUUUUUUAUAUUAUUUUGGUGGUGGUUGUACCCUCGGGAUAAGAUUGGUGAAGAGUUGCAUAUUGAUUUUUUUAUUUUACUUUUGGUGGUGGUUGUACCCUCUGAAUUUCCAAUUUUAUUAUAGAACUAUUCUAAACUGGCAUCAAAUGUUUUCAUCUUCAUAUAUUAUCUUCAUUUGAAUAAAUAUGGUGUGACUUGGUUCAUUUAACACAUUUUCAUGAUUCACAUACAAGAACUAUGCAUUGGUUAAGUUGAUUAUCUAUGUAAUUUUUUUGAGUUGUACUGUUCUAUUACAACUCUAGUUGCAGUAGAAAGUCAACAGCUGCAUCAUGAUCACUUCGUAAUGAGAUGAUGUUUAUGAAAUAUUGUUAGUAUUGAUUAGUUUCAUCCUCUCUCUUGGGUACUAUCUAAAAAUGGUUGCGGAUGUUUUAUUUUUUGGGUUAAGUUGAUUCUCUAUGUUAUAGAGAGAUUGAAACCCAUCCACGUCAUAAUCCAAAAAGUAAGACAUCUACAAUUAUUUUUAGAUGGUACCCAAGAGAGAGGGUGAAACUAAUUCAUCCUAACAAUAUUUCAUAAACAUCAUCUCAUUACUAAGUGAUCAUGAUGUAGCUGCUGACUUUCUAUUGCAACUAUUGUUGUAGUAGAAUAGUGCAACUCAAAAAAAAUUACACGGACAAUCAACUUAACCAAUGCACGGUUCUUGUAUGUGAAUCAUGAGAAAUGUGUUAAAUGAACCAAGUCAAACCAAAUUUAUUAAAUCAAUUUAAGUGAUGAUAAUAUAUGAAGAUGAAAACAUUUGAUGCCGGUUUAGAAGAGUUUUACUGUAAAACCGAAAAUUUAGAGGGUACAACCACCACCAAAAUGACGUGGAUGGGUUUCAAUCUCUCGAUAACAUUGGACAUGUGUUAUGAUAGGUUAUAUGCUUUUUUUUUUUCUAUGCUGGAGGAUUUGUUAAUGUAUUUGGGAAUUGAGCCUUCAUGAAUCUUUGUUCCAUGAUUGUCCAUUGCUUUAAUGAUGCAUUUUGCUAUAUGAGUUUGGUCUCUAGUACACCUUCAUUAUGCAUUUUGAUGCUCAUAACAUAGCAUUGCUGAUUUUAAUUAUUUAUAGAAAAAGAGCUUAUAGCUCUGGCACCACACUAGCUUACCAAUCCAAAUCCAUUGGACAUUCUGAUUCAAUGGAGGCAGAAGUAACUGCCCUCCUUGAAGGCUUCAAACUUUGUCUUCCUUACCUCUCGGAGCCCCUCAUAAUCGUAGGAGACUCAAAAAAUAUUAUUGCUUCGGCCUCUAAAUUUUCUCCUCCUCCUUGGAAGUUGGCACACAUUUUUGAUUGAUGAGGUUCACUAUAUUUGCAGGGAUAUGCGCGCCUCAUUGAGGCAUAUUUGGAGGGAAGGAAAAUAGGCAGCGGACUCUCUAGCUAAAGAUGGAGCAGCUUUAGUUCACAUUUGAUUUUUGGGAUCGGCAUCUUUUUGAUGGUUGCUUUGUUUCUAUAUUUGCAGGGAUAUGCGCAACACAUGGAGGCACAUUUGGAGGGAAGGAAAAUAGGCAGCGGACUCUCUAGCUAAAGAUGGAGCAGCUUUAGGUCAUGUUUGAUUUUUGGGAUCGACAUCUUUUUGAUGGUUACUUUGUUUCUGUCACUGUAACUACUAAAAAGAUAUGUUUUUUGGAAUCUACUCUCUCACCCCCCUUUUCAUAAGGGUUCUGUUAGCUUUUCGCCUGUGGAAAAGCACUUCUCUUCUUUUCUCUGUACUCCGGCUUAUACUAUAUAAAAAUCAACAUUAUCGAAAAAAAAACGAGCUCAUGGAUGACUGCCGGUCUUGAAGUUCUGGAAUUCUUGAUGAACUGCUGGUUUAAGUGUUUUUUUUUUUUUUUACUUCCCCCUAUUUUUAUUGAACUCAUGGAUGUGAACGGCCCACUCUCAGCAAGGCUCAAUGCGUAGCAUUACUGAUUUUAAAAAGCUCUCUCUCAAUUAAUGUGGUUUGUCUCUACAUUUUGCAAUCUACUGAAAUACAAUGUUCUGAAAUUGAGUAUAAUUGGAAUUGUAGACAAGGAAAAUUGUCUAGAGCUUUGUUGUUUGUUUCUUACAUGACUGUAUUCAACAAAAUUGACCAAGGUAUGCAAGCAAAUUAUACUUGAUCCUUGUUCGAUAAUUGCAUGACUUGUUUUCUGUUUUGGGCAUUCUGUUUGUGCCUUUAGCAGUGUGAUGUGGUUCGUAUAAUUUGGCAGGGUGAUGUAGUCUUGAAGUUCUGGAAUUCUUGAUGAACUGCUGCUGGUUUAAGUGUUUUUUUUAAUUAUUUUUUUUACUUUCCCCCUAUUUUUAUUGAACUCAUGAAUGUGAACGGCCCACUCUGAGCAAGGCUCAAUGCGUAGCAUUACUGAUUUUAAAAAGCUCUCUCUCAAUUAAUGUGGUUUGUCUCUACAUUUUGCAAUCUACUGAAAUACAAUGUUCUGAAAUUGAGUAUAAUUGGAAUUGUAGACAAGGAAAAUUGUCUAGAGCUUUGUUGUUUGUUUCUUACAUGACUGUAUUCAACAAAAUUGACCAAUGCAAGCAAAUUAUACUUGAUGCUUGUUUGAUAAUUGCAUGACUUGUUUUCUGUUUUGGGCAUUCUGUUUGUGCCUUUAACAGUGUGAUUUGGUUCGUAUAAUUUGCAUCCAGUGGAGCCCGUGCCAUAUAUUUGUGCUAUGCAAGAACUCCAUUGAAAAGAUCAGCAGAGUGGUGCAAGGGUUAGAGUUUUAGUAGAGAGAGAGAGAGAGAGACUCCAUUGAAGAAAAUCAGUUGGGUAGUGCAAGAGUUACUAGUUUCAUAGGUCGAGUUGUGGCGAUGGCGCUCUCUCAAGCUGCCCAGCCCAGCCCUUGCUUUCUUUCAUGGCAGUUCCUACUCAGACAGUGGAGUGAAGCCCUCCCCUCUCUUUGUUUCAGGGAUAAGCGCACCUCAUGGUGGCAUAUUUGGAGGGAAGGAAAAUAGGCGGCGGACACUCUAGCUAAAGAUGGAGCAGCUUUAGUUCACGCUUGAUUUUUGGGAUGGACACCUUUUUGAUGGUUGCUUUGUUUUUGUCACUGUAACUACUAAAAAGAUAUUUUUUUUGGAUUCUACUCUCUCUCACCCCCCUUUUCAUAAGGGUUUUGCUAGCUUUUCGCCUGUGGAAAAGCACUUCUCUUCUUUUAUCUGUACUCCCUUUUAUAGUAUAUA